CCCUUAGAUGUUCUGGGCCGCACGCGCGCUACACUGACGAAUGCAACGAGCUUAUAACCUUGGCCGAAAGGUCUGGGUAAUCUCCAAAUUUCGUCGUGAUGGGGAUAGAUUAUUGCAAUUAUUAAUCUUCAACGAGGAAUGCUUAGUAAGCGCAAGUCAUCAGCUUGCGUUGAUUACGUCCCUGCCCUUUGUACACACCGCCCGUCGCUCCUACCGAUUGAAUGGUCCGGUGAAGCGUUCGGACCGUGGCCUUUGGACGGUUCGCCGUCUGUUGGCUGCGGGAAGUUCGUUAAACCUUAUCAUUUAGAGGAAGGAGAANUCGUAACA
rnacentral:rRNA from 1 species